AACGCACAUUGCGCCCCUUGGUAUUCCAUGGGGCAUGCCUGUUCGAGCGUCAUUUGUAUCUUCAAGCUUUGCUUGGUGUUGGGUGUUUGUCCUGCUCUAUGCGUGGACUCGCCUUAAAUCAAUUGGCAGCCGGUAAUCUGGUGUUAAGAGCGCAGCACAUUGUGCGCUCCUCGCUGUGUAUUGCGGCGUCCAUUAAGCCUAUAUUUUUUGCUCUUGACCUCGGAUCAGGUAGGGAUACCCGCUGAACUUAA
rnacentral:misc_RNA from 2 species